AACGCACCUUGCGCUCCUUGGUAUUCCGAGGAGCAUGCCUGUUUGAGUGUCAUUAAAUUCUCAACUCCAAGGGUUUCACGACCUUUCGGAGAUUGGACUUGGAGGUGCUGGCCGCAUAUUGGUCGGCUCCUCUCAAAUGCAUCAGCGGAAUUCAACCUUUGGCUUCCGGAUGUCAGUGUGAUAAUCAUGUUGCGCUGUCGUUUGAUCCCUCAGAGUCCGCUUAUAAUGGUCUUCGGACAAAAUCAUCAUCAAAUUUGACCUCAAAUCAGGUAGGACUACCCGCUGAACUUAA
rnacentral:misc_RNA from 5 species